CAGAGGUCCCGAGCGUUGUUCGGAUUUACUGGGCGUAAAGGGUGCGUAGGCGGUCGGAUAAGUCUGAUGUGAAAUCUCAGAGCUCAACUCUGAAACUGCAUUGGAUACUAUUCGGCUUGAGGUCUGGAGGGGGGACUGGAAUUCUCGGUGUAGCAGUGAAAUGCGUAGAUAUCGAGAGGAACACCAGUGGCGAAGGCGAGUCCCUGGACAGGUCCUGACGCUGAGGCACGAAAGCUAGGGGAGCAAACAGGAUUAGAUACCCUGGUAGUCCUAGCCGUAAACGGUGCGUAUUUGCUGUAAAGGAAUCGACCCCUUUUGUGGCGUAGCAAACGCGUUAAAUACGCCGCCUGGGAAGUACGGUCGCAAGAUUA
rnacentral:rRNA from 1 species